rnacentral:lncRNA from 1 species
UGAUAUGUAACACAGGGCCUCAGGCCUAGCCAAGACUGCAGUCUUGAAACUGAUAAGUUGCCUUCAAAUAAUUUCUAUUGCAGUUUAGAAGAAAGAACAAACAUCAACAAAUAUGAAUCUUGGGUUGGGGGAGUAGUUUAAUGCUAGAACAUUUGCGCAGCAUUCACAAAGCCCUAUUUUCCAUCUCCAACACUGCAGUAAGAGUCUAAAAUGAGCCAGACACAGUGGCAACCACCUGUAAACGAAGCAACUGGGGAGGCUGAGGCAGGAGGAUUUCAAGUUUGAAGCCAGCACUGGCAAUUUAGCCAGAACUUGUCUUAAGACAGUGCUGGGGCUGGAUGUGGGUGGUGCAUACCUGUAAUCCCAGUGGCUUGGGAAGCUAAGGCAGGAAGAUCAGAUUUCAAACCCAGUGAUCAGGGGCCUGGUUGGAAUUCUCAGGUUGGUGGGUAGCCACAGACCUGAUCUGACUUGCUUUCUACAGAGACCUUUGGCUACUACUGCACAGAUAGGGACUGGA